rnacentral:rRNA from 1 species
CCUACGGGAGGCAGCAGUCGAGAAUUUUUGACAAUGGGGGAAACCCUGAUCGAGCGACGCCGCGUGGAGGAUGAAGGUCUUCGGAUUGUAAACUCCUGUCAUUGGGGAACAAUGCGUGACGGUUAACUGCCGUCGCGUUGAUAGUACUCGAAGAGGAAGAGACGGCUAACUCUGUGCCAGCAGCCGCGGUAA